rnacentral:rRNA from 1 species
UACGUAGGGUGCGAGCGUUAAUCGGAAUUACUGGGCGUAAAGCGUGCGCAGGCGGUUCGUUGUGUCGGUGGUGAAAUCCCCGGGCUUAACCUGGGAAUGGCCAUGGAAACUGGCGAACUGGAGUGUGGCAGAGGGGGGUGGAAUUCCGGCGUGUAGCAGUGAAAUGCGUAGAGAUGCGGAGGGAACACCGAUGGCGAAGGCAGCCCCCUGGGCUAACACUGACGCUCAGGCACGAAAGCGUGGGGAGCGAACAGG